AGAGUUUGAUCCUGGCUCAGAGCGAACGCUGGCGGCAGGCCUAAUACAUGCAAGUCGAGCGGGUCCUUCGGGAUUAGCGGCGGACGGGUGAGUAACGCGUGGGAACGUGCCCUUUGGUACGGAACAACUGAGGGAAACUUCAGCUAAUACCGUAUGUGCCCUUCGGGGGAAAGAUUUAUCGCCAUUGGAGCGGCCCGCGUUGGAUUAGGUAGUUGGUGAGGUAAAGGCUCACCAAGCCUACGAUCCAUAGCUGGUCUGAGAGGAUGACCAGCCACACUGGGACUGAGACACGGCCCAGACUCCUACGGGAGGCAGCAGUAGGGAAUCUUGCGCAAUGGGCGAAAGCCUGACGCAGCCAUGCCGCGUGAAUGAUGAAGGUCUUAGGAUUGUAAAAUUCUUUCACCGGGGACGAUAAUGACGGUACCCGGAGAAGAAGCCCCGGCUAACUUCGUG
rnacentral:rRNA from 1 species